GAUGAACGCUGGCGGCGUGCCUAAUACAUGCAAGUCGAGCGAACAGACGAGGAGCUUGCUCCUCUGACGUUAGCGGCGGACGGGUGAGUAACACGUGGAUAACCUACCUAUAAGACUGGGAUAACUUCGGGAAACCGGAGCUAAUACCGGAUAAUAUAUUGAACCGCAUGGUUCAAUAGUGAAAGACGGUUUUGCUGUCACUUAUAGAUGGAUCCGCGCCGCAUUAGCUAGUUGGUAAGGUAACGGCUUACCAAGGCAACGAUGCGUAGCCGACCUGAGAGGGUGAUCGGCCACACUGGAACUGAGACACGGUCCAGACUCCUACGGGAGGCAGCAGUAGGGAAUCUUCCGCAAAGGGCGAAAGCCUGACGGAGCAACGCCGAGUGAGUGAUGAAGGUCUUCGGAUCGUAAAACUCUGUUAUUAGGGAAGAACAAAUGUGUAAGUAACUAUGCACGUCUUGACGGUACCUAAUCAGAAAGCCACGGCUAACUACGUG
rnacentral:rRNA from 1 species